GAUGAACGCUGGCGGCGUGCCUAACACAUGCAAGUCGAACGAAGCACUUAUACGGAUUCCUUCGGGAAGAAGUAUUUGUGACUGAGUGGCGGACGGGUGAGUAACGCGUGGGCAACCUGCCCUAUACCGGGGGACAACAGCUGGAAACGGCUGCUAAUACCGCAUAAGCGCACAGAGUCGCAUGGCUCGGUGUGAAAAACUCCGGUGGUAUAGGAUGGACCCGCGUCCGAUUAGCUAGUUGGUAGUGUAAUGGACUACCAAGGCGACGAUCGGUAGCCGGCCUGAGAGGGCGGACGGCCACAUUGGGACUGAGACACGGCCCAGACUCCUGCGGGAGGCAGCAGUGGGGGAUAUUGCACAAUGGGGGAAACCCUGAUGCAGCGACGCCGCGUG
rnacentral:rRNA from 1 species